rnacentral:piRNA from 1 species
UAGCAGAACAAUCGUCUUUGGUUUCUCCUG